rnacentral:rRNA from 1 species
ACUCCUACGGGAGGCAGCAGUGGGGAAUAUUGCACAAUGGGGGAAACCCUGAUGCAGCCAUGCCGCGUGUGUGAAGAAGGCCUUCGGGUUGUAAAGCACUUUCAGCAGUGAGGAAGGCAGGUACGUUAAUAGCGUGCUUGUUUGACGUUAGCUGCAGAAGAAGCACCGGCUAACUCCGUGCCAGCAGCCGCGGUAAUACGGAGGGUGCGAGCGUUAAUCGGAAUUACUGGGCGUAAAGCGCAUGCAGGUGGUUUGUUAAGUCAGAUGUGAAAGCCCGGGGCUCAACCUCGGAAUUGCAUUUGAAACUGGCAGACUAGAGUACUGUAGAGGGGGGUAGAAUUUCAGGUGUAGCGGUGAAAUGCGUAGAGAUCUGAAGGAAUACCGGUGCGAAGGCGGCCCCCUGGACAGAUACUGACACUCAGAUGCGAAAGCGUGGGGAGCAAACAGGAUUAGAUACCCUGGUAGGAUAGCG